rnacentral:rRNA from 1 species
UACGUAGGGCGCAAGCGUUGUCCGGAAUUAUUGGGCGUAAAGAGCUCGUAGGCGGCCUGUUACGUCUGCUGUGAAAUCCCCGGGGCUUAACCCCGGGCGUGCAGUGGAUACGGGCAGGCUGGAGGCAGGCAGGGGAGAACGGAAUUCCCGGUGUAGCGGUGAAAUGCGCAGAUAUCGGGGAGGAACACCGGUGGCGAAGGCGGUCACUGGGCCAUACUGACGCUGAGGAGCGAAAGCGUGGGGGAGCAAACGG